AGUGGUUUCCAAAUAGUCUGAU
rnacentral:miRNA from 1 species